rnacentral:rRNA from 1 species
UACGGGGGGGGCAAGCGUUGUUCGGAAUUACUGGGCGUAAAGGGCUCGUAGGCGGCCAACUAAGUCAGACGUGAAAUCCCUCGGCUUAACCGAGGAACUGCCUUCCAAACUGCUUGGCUUGAGUCCGGGAGAGGUGAGUGGAAUUCCCAGUGUAGCGGUGAAAUGCGUAGAUAUUGGGAGGAACACCAGUGGCGAAGGCGGCUCACUGGACCGGAACUGACGCUGAUGCGCGAAAGCGUGGGGAGCAAACGGGG